UGGGGAAUAUUGCACAAUGGGCGCAAGCCUGAUGCAGCCAUGCCGCGUGUAUGAAGAAGGCCUUCGGGUUGUAAAGUACUUUCAGCGGGGAGGAAGGGAGUAAAGUUAAUACCUUUGCUCAUUGACGUUACCCGCAGAAGAAGCACCGGCUAACUCCGUGCCAGCAGCCGCGGUAAUACGGAGGGUGCAAGCGUUAAUCGGAAUUACUGGGCGUAAAGCGCACGCAGGCGGUUGAUUGAGUCAGAUGUGAAAUCCCCGGGCUUAACCCGGGAAUUGCAUCUGAUACUGGUCAGCUAGAGUCGUGUAGAGGGGGGUAGAAUUCCAUGUGUAGCGGUGAAAUGCGUAGAGAUGUGGAGGAAUACCGGUGGCGAAGGCGGCCCCCUGGACAAAGACUGACGCUCAGGUGCGAAAGCGUGGGGAGCAAACAGG
rnacentral:rRNA from 1 species